rnacentral:rRNA from 1 species
UGGGGAAUAUUGCACAAUGGGCGCAAGCCUGAUGCAGCCAUGCCGCGUGUGUGAAGAAGGCCUUCGGGUUGUAAAGCACUUUCAGCGAGGAGGAAGGUGGUGAACUUAAUACGUUCAUCAAUUGACGUUACUCGCAGAAGAAGCACCGGCUAACUCCGUGCCAGCAGCCGCGGUAAUACGGAGGGUGCAAGCGUUAAUCGGAAUUACUGGGCGUAAAGCGCACGCAGGCGGUUUGUUAAGUCAGAUGUGAAAUCCCCGGGCUCAACCUGGGAACUGCAUUUGAAACUGGCAAGCUAGAGUCUCGUAGAGGGGGGUAGAAAUUCCAGGUGUAGCGGUGAAAUGCGUGGAGAUCUGGAGGAAUACCGGUGGCGAAGGCGGCCCCCUGGACGAAGACUGACGCUCAGGUGCGAAAGCGUGGGGAACAAACAGGAUUAGAUACCCUGGUAGUCCACGCUGUAAAACGAUGUCGAUUUUGGAGGUUGUGCCCUUGAGGCGUGGCUUCCGGAGCUAACGCGUUAAAUCGACCGCCUGGGGAG